GACGAACGCUGGCGGCGUGCUUAACACAUGCAAGUCGAACGGCAAGGCCCUGCUUUUGUGGUGUUCUCGAGUGGCGAACGGGUGAGUAACACGUGAGUAACCUGCCCUUGACUUUGGGUUAACUUCCGGAAGCUGGGGUUAAUACCCGAUAGGAGCUCCGGCUGCAGGGGGGGGGUUGGAAAGUUGCGGCGGUUGGGGAUGGAUUCGCGGCUUUUCGUCUUGUUGGUGGGGUAGCGGCUUACCGAGGCUUUGCCGGGUAGCCGGCAUGAGAGGGGGACCGGCGACAUUGGGACUAAGAGACGGACCAGAGUGCUACGGGAGGCAGCAGUGGGGAAUAUUGCACAAUGGGCGGAAGCGUGAGGCAGCAGCGCUGCGGGUGUGAUGCCGGCCUUCGGGGUGAAAACCGCUUUCGCCUGUGACGAAGCGUGAGUGACGGUAACGGGUGAAGAAGCACCGGCUAACUACGUG
rnacentral:rRNA from 1 species